rnacentral:pre_miRNA from 1 species
UUUUUACUCCCUUCGUCCGAAAAUACUUGUCAUCAAAAUGGAUAAAAAGAGAUGUAUCUAAAACUAAAAUAUGUCUAGAUACAUUUCCUUUUAUCCAUUUUGAUGACAAGUAUUUCCGGACGGAGGGAGUAUUUG